rnacentral:rRNA from 1 species
GACGAACGCUGGCGGCGUGCUUAACACAUGCAAGUCGAACGGAAAGGCCCUGCUUUUGUGGGCUGCUCGAGUGGCGAACGGGUGAGUAACACGUGAGUAACCUGCCCUUGACUUUGGGAUAACUUCAGGAAACUGGGGCUACUCCCGGAUCGGAGCCCCUGCUGCAUGGUGGGGGUGGGAAAGUCUAGGCGGGUGGGGAUGGAUUCGCGGCUUAUGCGGUAGUUGUUGGGGUAGUGGCUUACCCAGGGAGUGACGGGUAGCCGGCCUGAGAAGGUGACCGGCCACAUGGGGACUGCGAUACGCAGCAGACGCCAACGGGGGGCAGCAGGGGGAAGUAUUACACAGUGGGCGGACGUCUGAGACAGCAACCCCGCGGGCGGGAUGACGGCCUUCUGGUUGUAAACCGCUGUCGCCUAUGACGAAGCGUGAGUGACGGUAAUGGGUAAAGAAGCACCGGCUAACUACGUG